UCUCCGUCAGUGUCGAUCAAAGUCGGGAGGAUGGCGCUUGGACAUUUAGCAACGGAGGAUUUAAUCACGGGCUUACUUCGUUUUGGAAUAAAGGUCACUGAAGAGGAGCGAAGUAAAUUCAAAGAUAAUGAAGUUGACGGAGAAGCAGUGGACUAUGGAUUGACUGAGAGGAUGGUUUCAUACCUCUUUGAAGGAUCGUUUAAGAAGCAAGCCAAAUUCAACCGAUUUGUACAGCAGUGGAAAGAAACCGUGACACUAACCGUUGAGCCUGUCCCGGUACAUUCAGAGAAGGCUACAGUGGAAUCAAGAAUGAAUAUCUGCCGAAGAUUUUAAGAUGGCUUUAAGAUCCUAGUACCCACAGUGCUUAGACUGACUCAAAGGAAAUCUCCCCUUGCAGAUCUGGCUUUGGAGGAAAGAGAGGCUGCCCUCACCGAAGAUGUCCCUGGGAUUGAUUUCAGAGCUGCAAUCCUGCUGUUGCCGAUCCUGUUCAGGGAGAAAAAUGACAUUCUCGUCAUACUUGGAGAGGUGUGUAAUUUGCGUGUACUUAUUUUUUGUUUACAUUACUUCACGCAGAGACUGGGAGAAUUAUAUGCAUCCCUUGGAUGUCUUAUUUCAUAAUACAAAGUUUCUAGCUGUCAAUACUGGG